UACAGAGGGGGCAAGCGUUGUUCGGAAUUACUGGGCGUAAAGGGCGCGUAGGCGGCCUGUUAAGUCGAACGUGAAAUCCCCGGGCUCAACCCGGGAACUGCGUCCGAAACUGGCAGGCUCGAAUUCGGGAGAGGGAUGCGGAAUUCCAGGUGUAGCGGUGAAAUGCGUAGAUAUCUGGAGGAACAUCGGUGGCGAAGGCGGCAUCCUGGACCGAUAUUGACGCUGAGGCGCGAAAGCCAGGGGAGCAAACGGG
rnacentral:rRNA from 1 species